UGGGACUUACAACUUUUGGAAUCGACUCAAACGAUGAGGAUUAACCCAUGCCCCAGUUUCUUUUGACUGGAUGACUCUAAACUAUUUAUUGGUUGGACCGAGCCCUUAGUAGGGCAGUCUACGUAUCUCACCCCCGAGAGAAGAGAAUUAGGUCAUGCGUAGUUCUGACAGCUUUUCUUUUUUUGCUUGAUUCUGACUUGUUCUUCUUCUUUUUGUUUUACUCUUUUUAGUGAUUUUUCUGACUCUAACUUCUUGACAAUUUUUUCUUCCUUCGUGGACACAUUUUUAUCUUUUUUUUUUUGAAACUUUCUGACUCUAU
rnacentral:lncRNA from 1 species